GACGAACGCUGGCGGCGUGCCUAAUACAUGCAAGUUGAGCGCUGAAGGUUGGUACUUGUACCAACUGGAUGAGCAGCGAACGGGUGAGUAACGCGUGGGGAAUCUGCCCUUGAGCGGGGGACAACAUUUGGAAACGAAUGCUAAUACCGCAUAAAAACUUUAAACACAAGUUUUAAGUUUAAAAGAUGCAAUUGCAUCACUCAAAGAUGAUCCCGCGUUGUAUUAGCUAGUUGGUGAGGUAAAGGCUCACCAAGGCGAUGAUACAUAGCCGACCUGAGAGGGUGAUCGGCCACAUUGGGACUGAGACACGGCCCAAACUCCUACGGGAGGCAGCAGUAGGGAAUCUUCGGCAAUGGACGAAAGUCUGACCGAGCAACGCCGCGUGAGUGAAGAAGGUUUUCGGAUCGUAAAACUCUGUUGGUAGAGAAGAACGUUGGUGAGAGUGGAAAGCUCAUCAAGUGACGGUAACUACCCAGAAAGGGACGGCUAACUACGUG
rnacentral:rRNA from 1 species